AUUCCAGCUCCAAUAGCGUAUAUUUAAGUUGUUGCAGUUAAAAAGCUCGUAGUUGGAUUUCGGUUGAGAGCGGCCGGUCCGCCGUUUGGUGUGCACUGGCUGGUCUCAACUUCCUGCGGAGGACGCGCUCUGGGCUUAACGGUCCGGACGUGGAGUCCGCGUGGUUACUUUGAAAAAAUUAGAGUGUUCAAAGCGGGCUUACGCUUGAAUAUUUCAGCAUGGAAUAACACUAUAGGACUCCUGUCCUAUUUCGUUGGUCUCGGGACGGGAGUAAUGAUUAAGAGGAACAGUUGGGGGCAUUCGUAUUUCAUUGUCAGAGGUGAAAUUCUUGGAUUUAUGAAAGACGAACUUCUGCGAAAGCAUUUGCCAAGGAUGUUUUCAUUA
rnacentral:rRNA from 1 species